AAAAUCCGUCGACUUUAGAAAUCGUGAGGGUUCAAGUCCCUCUAUCCCCCCAAAAAGACCGAUUUGACUAUUUCUCCUACCCUCUCUUUUUUUUAGUGGUUCAAAAUCCGUUCUCUUUCUCAUUCAUUCUACCUUUUUACAAACGUAUCAGAGCAUAAUUUUUUUUUUAUCACAAUCCCAAUCCCAAGUGGUGUGGUAUAUAUGAUAUACGUACAAAUGAACAUCUUUGAACAAAGAAUCCCGAUUCACAAUUCAUAUCAUUGCUCAUACUGAAACUUAUAAAUUAUUCUAUUCAAGAAAUCGAAUUCCACGCUCAAGACUUUUAAUACUUUUUUAUCUUUUUUAAUUGACAUAGACCCCAGUCAUCUAGUAAAAUGAGGAUGAUGCGCCGGUAAUGGUCGGGAUAGCUCAGCUGGUAGAGCAGAGGACUGAAAAUCCUCGUGUCACCAG
rnacentral:tRNA from 1 species